rnacentral:tRNA from 1 species
UACACUUUAGUAUAUAUUGUAUAAAAGUUUUUGAUACUUUAGGUAAUAGGUUAUUCUGUUAAGUGUAU